rnacentral:rRNA from 1 species
AACGCGAAGAACCUUACCAGGGCUUGACAUCCCUUGAUCGGUGCAGAAAUGCAUCCUCCAUAGCAAUAUGGCAGGGUGACAGGUGCUGCAUGGCUGUCGUCAGCUCGUGUCGUGAGAUGUUGGGUUAAGUCCCGCAACGAGCGCAACCCUCGUCGAGUGUUGGUCCGCAAGGAUCUCUCACGCGAGACCGCCGGUGAGAAGCCGGAGGAAGGUGGGGAUGACGUCAAGUCAGCAUGGCCCUUACGUCCCGGGCUACACACGUGCUACAAUGGGUAGGACAACGAGUCGCUAGCUAGUGAUAGUCUGCUAAUCUCUUAAACCUACCCUCAGUUCGGAUUGAAGGCUGCAACUCGCCUUCAUGAAGUCGGAAUCGCUAGUAAACGCAGAUCAGCUACGCUGCGUUGAAUACGUUCCCGGGCCUUGUACACACCGACUGUAC